CCACAGGGAUUACAGGCGAGAAGUCCCUGCUGUGCGAAAGGGCCCUCCUCCUAGGAGGGGGGCCCGGGCGUAAAGCAGGGAUAAGCACGGCAAGUUGAGGCCUAGCGAAAGCAGCUUUGAGCUAGGCUUUGGCGACACACCUGGUUGCUGGGAUAGCCUGUUAGGGCUCGCGGUACUAAGCGUUCCUGGGUAACACCCGGGCGUUACAGGGCCUUCCCGGCCCGAGUGAUAAUCCGCGAGCUAGGGCCGACCAGCAGACGACAAGAGCCGCGCCUUUGCUCCCCCUUACCCGGGCUAGGGGGGGAGCGAGGGUCGACGCCUGCGCGUUGCAACGACUGGCAAGGUGUGGGUAGCAAAGGGGCUAGGCUUAGGCCAGGCUCUGGCGCUGCUUAAGGUACAGUCUACCCCCGCCUGAAAGGGCGCUCAGGCUUAAACCCGCUGCUGACGGGUAGGCCUGGGAGGCUGGUGCUGGGCCCCUUCCAAAAGGGCCUGGCGCCGCAUAGCCUGGUGCAGGG
rnacentral:ribozyme from 1 species